rnacentral:lncRNA from 1 species
AAGAUAUUCUAAACCUGGGAUAGACAUUUUUCUUAAAUCACUGGUGCAAUAUGGGUAUCAAAUUGAUUCCAAAGCCAGAGAUACAGCAACUAACAAAAGUGGGAUGCAUCUACUAACUGCUAUGACUCCUGCCAAACUGGGGAAAAGAGUGGAAGAAUCACAAUUUAUACCUGGAGAAGAUGCACUGUGCUCUGCCUAUACUAUCUAGCUGAUGAAGUUAAUGGGAGUUUGGCUCACUGAGAAUGACAGACUUUUACCUGGGGGGUAAAUAACUAACUCUAUGGUAUUCUCUGACUACUCUUGCUGUCUCCUUCUCACAAAGAUAUAAAAUAUAUAAAUGUUUCAGUUUUAUUAGGGAGAUUCUUUAAAAAACAAAAAUUAUUUCAAAAUGGAAACUCUACCAUAAAUCCCACCCAGACCACUCAUACAUAUCACCCCAGUCAA